CACCGUUGCCAUGCCAAAGCUCCCACACCUCUCAUGCAUGGGCAGAGGGUUCAUGGCCACGGCAGCAGCCGCCCACGUUCGCCGCCGCAUCCACCACUCACCACCCGAUCGAUGGGGAGCACCGGAGCAGAGCAGAGAGCAGCGCGCGCGCGAACCCUAAAAGCCUUCGGUCGACCUGUAUGGAUCGGAUCAGCCGGAGCGCGAGCGUCCAGCCUGCCACGCCUGGGCUGGUGCGCGCGCGGGCCCACCUCCCCGCUAUAAAGCGGGACCGCCGCGCGCGGCAUCGUCAGGAGCAGGAAUCUACCGGACGGAGGAUCCGUAGUUCCCUCCAAGGUGUUUCUGACCAGAUCUAUUUAUUACUAGUACCACUACUCAGUUCUUCCCCUACCGUACUCUGUCUCUUCUUUCCUUUCCAGGCUUACUGUUAGGCUCGAGAGCCGAUCCACAAACGGCGCCGCGUGUGUCAGGGAUAAGAUGAGCUCAGCAAGAGGCAGAGUGGAGGAGGAGGUGAGGAAAGAGCAAGGAAAGGCACAAUACGGUGGCACGGUCGGCAGAUCUAUCCCGGCCUGCCGCCGUUUCCGCACUACCAUGCAUGUCAUCAGGAUUGUGUCUCCAUCGGUGGUGGUCUGGUGGACAUCGAUCCCUGGAGAAUGGCUUGAACCUUUCAUUUGCGUGAUUCUAGCAUAGACAUCUGAAUAUCUGAUGGUUAGUGAAAGGCUGGAUACCAUCAUAUAUACGUGUCAUAUGCCAUUUGAAGUGUGCCAUACUAAAAUUGUAGUCCCAGGAGUAUUAUGCUUUGGCUGUAAUUAAACUUUAAAUAGUGUUCUGUACAUAUGUAUUACAGUGCCUCAUUGUCUCACACAUGGGCUAUCAGGGUAGCCCCGACCAUAUAUGGAUGAAGGAGAGGAAGAAAACUAUGUAUAAAAGAUAUAUAGAGGAUCAGAGGGAGAAGAAAAAGAGAGGAAGAAAGAGAAAGAAAAGGAGAAGAAAAUUGUGUAUGAUGUUACUAUUCAGAUUUAUUCAUGGUCAGCUAUUCAGAGAUUGAUGCAUGGUCAUGUAGCCCUUUCAUAUUCUACCACAUAACAAGAGAUUCACAAUCAAAUAAAGCUUACCAGGACUGCUAGGUAUCGAAUCUUAGGGCAUAGCUACUCAAGUUUG